rnacentral:rRNA from 1 species
GAUGAACGCUGGCGGCGCGCCUAACACAUGCAAGUCGAACGAGCGAGAGAGAGCUUGCUUUCUCGAGCGAGUUGGCGAACGGGUGAGUAACGCGUGAGGAACCUGCCUCAAAGAGGGGGACAACAGUUGGAAACGACUGCUAAUACCGCAUAAGCCCACGACCCGGCAUCGGGUUGAGGGAAAAGGAGCAAUCCGCUUUGAGAUGGCCUCGCGUCCGAUUAGCUAGUUGGUGAGGUAAAGGCUCACCAAGGCGACGAUCGGUAGCUGGUCUGAGAGGACGACCAGCCACACUGGGACUGAGACACGGCCCAG